rnacentral:lncRNA from 1 species
UAGCUUCGAUUUCCGGCAGCCCUGAGCUGUUAUUCUCGUCGGAAGAUCCAUCAUCUUCCACUAAGAGCUUUGAUUUCUUAACAAGCACCACAGAUUCCACAGUUUGUUUUGCUGCUUGUUCCUCAAACGCCUUCACACGCUCUUGAAGGUGUUUCACAUACUUAAUGGCAUCUCCCAGUACAGAAGUUUUAUCCACCUGCAAUACCCAUAAUGCUCAAUAUAUAACAAUCUUGAUUCUUGUGGCUUUUAUAGGCAAGAACAAGGACCGGUACUGGAGAGUGUUAAAGAUCAAAAACAAGGUAAAAUCUUAUCUAUGGGGAGAUGAAUGGACUGCAUCAAAACCAAGGAACUAUGCUUAUAUAUACCUUCUUGAGGCCCGGAACUAAGGCUGAAAGAGCAACAAACCGUUGGCUGAGCAGCUCCCGACGCUUUCUUUCGGCAAUUAUGUGAUCAUAGGUUUGAGAUGGCGGCCUAACACGACCAUUUUUCUUUGUUGUCUGUGCGGUUUUUAUAACCUCUUCAGGGCUUCUCAAAGCUUCAGAAACUGCUGCCUUUUCUUCUGGAUUCAAGGAACUUAAGUUAUAUUGCUGAGGACUUCUUGUAGGAGAAUUCGAA